UACUAUGUAGUUUAAACUAAAACAUUAAUCUUGUAAAUUAAAAUUAAAUAAAUUAAUUUCAUAGUAU
rnacentral:tRNA from 1 species